AACGACUCUCGGCAACGGAUAUCUCGGCUCUCGCAUCGAUGAAGAACGUAGCGAAAUACGAUACUUGGUGUGAAUUGCAGAAUCCCGUGAACCAUCGAGUUUUUGAACGCAAGUUGCGCCCGAAGCCAUUAGGCUAAGGGCACGUCUGCCUGGGCGUCACGC
rnacentral:rRNA from 11 species